GUCACGCACCGUCAAGUCCUUGUUGAAACUACUUCUUGGGGCAGUUGAGAAAGAAAAGUCGUCUUUAUGGCAUCGAAAGUGGAAGUUUCCAUAGAAUAUUGUGGUGCAUGAGGAUACGCCCCACGCUACAGGGAACUGGCGGAUAAAAUCAAAGCCGAUGUCCCUGCAGCAAAUGUGGCUGGUCAUGUCGGCCGCAGAUCCUCAUUUGAAGUCACAGUGAAUGGGAAAUUGAUUUUCUCCAAGCUUUCACAAGGAAGUUUUCCUUCCUUUAAAGAGGUCGUCAGUGUGGUACGUGAGUGCAGCCAAGGAAAAGACACACGUGAAGUGAAGGAGAAAGAAGAAUCCGAAUGUAUUUUGCUUUAAAAUGCAUCAUGCCAGUCCAACUACUGCAAAUUUUACGGCACAUUAUUUAUUGCUUUUAUUAUAAAUUUAAAACAAAAUAAUCAUUUCAUAGCAUUUUGCAGAGGGCCUGCCUAUUUCAAGCUCUCAAUGAGUAAAGAACAAGCCAAAAUCUGAUGAGGCACAAAAAGGAGCAUGCUCUUCCCUCAAGGGAUUACAUGUCAUUACUGUCCUGCAGCUUGCUUUGUUCUUCAAUCACACAUGUGGCCUUAAUUAACCUACACAAUAAUGCAGGCAUCUGUUCUGGUGCUACUCUCUUAACACCCAAGCGAGAUUCAUCUGUACAUGUACAUCUGUAUGCUGUAUCUUAGACCAGAGCCAAGUGUUAUUGAGCAUGUGCACUAUGCAUACACAUAGAUAUCUUUGUCGUGGCUAUGAUGAGUUGUUUGCUUGCAAAUUAUUACACAGAUUGCUGUAGUGUCUCUUACAAAGGGUUGAGAAACUGGUUCCCAGACUUUUCAGGUACCUACAAAUUAUGCAUUGUAUGUUUUUUUAAUGUCAGCACACACAAGGGGACUGGUCCCUACGACUAGUCCCUGUAACAAGUCGCAGGGACAAGUCCCAUGAUGUGAACUGGCCAUUUUUGCCACAAAACUAGUCACAGGGACUAAAAUUUGGUCCCUAUGACCAGUCCCACGAAUUCAAACUGGUUUGAAUUUUUGGGACAAGUCCAUGCGACUUGUUCCUCUAAAUGCUCCGUGUGAACUGUUCGUGGGACAAGUCCCUGGGACCAGUCCCUUCGUGUAAACUCUUCAGGGGACUAGUUGCAGGGACUGGUCGCAGGGACCAGUCCCCUUGUGUGCCAACCUUUAGAUGCCAAGAAGAAUGGAACAGGCUCAAUUCAUUCAGCACUUCCAAUGUUUGUUUUUAAAUUUUGGUAGCAAGGCCUUCUUAGGUCAGUGAAUGAGCACAUGUUGACAAGCAAGUUUUGCAAUAAAUUUUAGUGUCGCACGUUAUUAUUUAAUUGUAUUUAGCAGUGUGGCAAACUACACAUAUCCUUUGUUGAUGCAAAGAGUUAUGUUGUUUGUAUUUUUGUAUGAUAGUCACGUCUAAAAAUGCUCUCAGUAAUGAUGCUGACUUGAUGUUUAAAAUGCAACAGUGUAACAGCAGAGGCAUGUGGAUAUACCAGUUUUGUUAUGCAGGUAAAUUUGAACAUUAUAACAAUGACAUUGUAAGAUCAAUUAAUAAAUCAAUGGAAUCAACAUCAA